rnacentral:rRNA from 1 species
GACGAACGCUGGCGGCGUGCCUAAUACAUGCAAGUAGAACGCACAGUUUAUACCGUAGCUUGCUACACCAUAAACUGUGAGUUGCGUACGGGUGAGUAACGCGUAGGUAACCUGCGUGGUAGCGUGGGAUAACUAUUGGAAACGAUAGCUAAUACCGCAUAAUAUUAAUUAUUGCAUGAUAAUUGAUUGAAAGAUGCAAUUGCGUCACUACGAGAUGGACUUUCGUUGUAGUAGCUGGUAGGUGAGGUAUGGGCUCACGAAGGCGUGGACAGGUAGCCGGCCUGAGAGGGUGACCGGCCACAUUGGGACUGAGAUACGGCCCAGACUCCUACGGGGGGCAGCAGUGGGGAAUAUUGCACAAUGGGCGGAAGCCUGAUGCAGCAACGCCGCGUGCUGGAUGACGGCCUUCGGGUUGUAAACCGCUUUCGCCUGUGACGAAGCGUGAGUGACGGUAAUGGGUAAAGAAGCACCGGCUAACUACGUG